AUUUUUGCUCUUUGUUCUCCUCUCAUUUUCCUCAUCACUGUCGCUCUCUCUUUCCUCAUCUUUACCAUUUGCAUCCUUAGUCUCUCUUUCCUCAUCUCCACCAUCUUCCUCCUCGGUUUUACUUUCCUCAUAUCCACUCAUCUCCACCAUCUAAAGUCCCAUCGACACUUGUUCGGAGUUCUCCACCGAAAAUACAAUAAAUUAAUUUGCAAUCAUCCAUUUGUUUCUGUCCUGCACAAUAUUUGUAGUAACUUACAUAUACAACAUAUUAAAUAUUAGCCUUGAACUUGCCAUAUGCUUAUUGUUUUUUAAUAACAAAUUAUAUUUUACCAAGAGCUUUGCAAAUUUCCUUAAGAGAUUUCCUAAGAAAUUAUACAAUGAAUAGAUGUUGGGGAACUGAAUCUAGCUAUUAUAGAGAAUGUCACUUAGAGGGAUUGGUCUACAUAGAGUAGCCAACCAAAGAGCAAGGCUAUUGGGUAGGCUGGGUUUCCCUAAAUGAUGGAAAGUUGGGGAUCUGACACGUUUUGUGCAGUGAAGCAUGCUAUUAUGGUAAACAUUACAAAGUAUAACAAGAUAAUAAGAUAUCAAGGGCAACAUUGAUUGUCAGCAAUAGGGCACUUAAUUUCAUAAAUUGGAAGAGAGCGAGUGAUCUAAGAUGGUAAUGAACCAGAAGCUCUCCGAAUCUUAAUUGAAAACCAUUAGUUAUCUUCAUUUAGACAGCUAGUCAUCCCAAAAAAUUACAAAGGAAAUAACACUCAUUUAACUCCACGAGAAUUAGUGAAUAUAAACAAUAUUUUUUCCAUUAGUUUUUUUAAUGAUGGCUAAAGCCACAUUAGAAAUUGAAAAAACAAACACCAAAAUUACUAAAAAUUCCACUAUACCUUUGAUAAAAUCAGAAAACAGGAAAUUGUAUAGUGACCAAUUUGGUUUGGAUAAAAUUAGACAGAAAACCAACCAUUUUUGUGAGGUAAGUAGCAAUAAUCAAAUACUACAUCUUGAAACCCGAAAUCAAAUAAUUGAAUUCAAGUUCCAAGCGACUUACCCCAGCAAAAAUACAAAAAGUGCACAAUGAUAAAUGACAGACAAAAUUCAGAGCAAAAAACAAAUUACCUAUCCAUUCUUUUACUUCAUACACCUGAGUUUUGUCUACCAUUUAUUAUAACAAAUUAAGAAUAAGAAAAAUCAAUACAUCUUUUGAAUCACCUAUCCAUUCUUUCAUUUGUCGAUGACAAAUUAAAUACAGCCAAUGUAGCUAAAUAAAAACCCAACAACAAAUUUCAAGGAUACGUUUUCAUCCACCUUUUGAUAAAAAACAACAUAAAUUUAAUUUUCCCUAAAUUUAAAGACAAUUAACAAGCUUUUGAUUUACAUUUUUACUUCAUAUGAUUAAGUAAAAGGUUUCCAUGCCAAGCCUUAACGACAAAGUUGAAGUUACAACAUAAAUAGCAUUAUAAAAAUGUUUUAAAGAUUUAAUUGAUCUAUUCUUUCAUACUUGGUCCUAAAAAAUCGAGCUUGACCUGUGAUGGGAUCAGUGCUCUGUGGGACCUUCAUAGAGAGUUGUGGGACCUUCGUGGGGGUGAGAAAAACCUUCAUAGAGAUUGUGACAAAGUUGUACGACCUUUGACAAAGUUGUAUGACCUUUGAUUGUAGAGAGAAAAAAAAACGUGAUGCUUUGUGAGAGAGUGGGGCCUUCGUAAAAAGAGAGAUUGAGAAAGAAGUAGAGUUUUGGCUUAAAUAGAGAGAGAAAAUAGGGCUAAAAGUAGAGAGAGGGAGAGCAAAAAAAUAGGUCAAGAGAGAGAGAUAGUGGACCUUGUAGAAAAAGUGGUAGACAAGAACUCACAUUUAAAGAGUGAGAAAUGAAAUGAGGAAAAAUCGUGGAAUACAAAAUGAGAAUACCGUGACGAAAGAGAAAGAAUGGAAAAAGGCGUAAGGGAAAAUGGUGGAGAGAAAAAGGAGAAAUACGCUAUUGAAGGAAAAGGAAAUGGGAAAUUUCGUGAAGGUAGGAAAAUGAAUGGAGCGAAGGUAAAAAACGUAGGGGCGUAGGGUAAAGGUCAAAAAAAAAAGAAGAUAAAAAGUAAAUUAAAAACGAGGGGUAAUUUUAUCAUACAUUUUAUGUUUUUUUAGGUUUGGGGGGUUCCAGUUAUAAAAGUUGGUUUUUUAUAAAAAAAAGUGAGAAAAAUAUGAGGGUGGGGGUAGAGUGUCCAUAGAGUACAUUAUAAGGGGUUUUAGAAAUUUUCGCAAAAAAAUGUUAUAUUUUUAAGGAAAAGUUUAUGUAGAGCUUAGGCUCUAAACAAUCAAAGCCUACCUCAAAAUUUUCAUUAGAAAAUGUUGUUUUGAUGCCCAAAUAUCUUCAAAUUGAUCAUCUCGACAUCAAGAUACAUGAACAUGAGAAAAAAAAAGAUUUCAAGUUUUGGAACUAAUGUAUACAUUUUUGGACCAUCAAUUUUCAAGACUUCUAAGUUUCAAUUGAUCUGCUCGAUCUACACUAUCUUUGCAACAUUAAACUUUAUACCUAGAUAUGAAAAUAUAUUUUAAGGAUAUCACAAAGAAUGACCAAAAUACCCCUGAAAGAUUUAAGGG
rnacentral:lncRNA from 1 species